rnacentral:rRNA from 1 species
UACGUAGGGUGCAAGCGUUAAUCGGAAUUACUGGGCGUAAAGCGUGCGCAGGCGGCUUUGCAAGACAGAUGUGAAAUCCCCGGGCUUAACCUGGGAACUGCAUUUGUGACUGCAUGGCUGGAGUGCGGCAGAGGGGGAUGGAAUUCCGCGUGUAGCAGUGAAAUGCGUAGAUAUGCGGAGGAACACCGAUGGCGAAGGCAAUCCCCUGGGCCUGCACUGACGCUCAUGCACGAAAGCGUGGGGAUCAAACAGG